GGAAAUUAAGAGGGCCACUUCUGGUCUGGACUCCAAAGCAUCCCAACGUGCCUUCUUGCAUGUGGUGGUGACCCAGCUUCAGUCGUGCAGCUGACCAAGGGGGCUUGGAGGGCACUUGGGUAGGGCACGAAUGGAAACAGGACAUCACAGCGAGCUUCUAGUGUGUCUUCAGCACUGUGCCAAGUACUGGAGUGUACCCAUACUGAGGAAGCAGCCUCAGCUGGCUGGAAAAAAAAAGUUGCGUAUUCUCAGAAUGACUGCUUUCUGAGACCAGAGGUGAUGUCUGGAGCUGGGGCAGCCAUCCUAGGAUCAUGAUGCUAGAAGCAUGUGGAAGAGAAGCCGAUGUACUAAGAAUGGAAGAACAGAAAGAUAACAAGAGCUAGAAUGACACAGUUGGCCUGCCAGAUAAACAGUGAGACCACUUCCAAUAAAUGUCUGCAUCAU